rnacentral:tRNA from 1 species
GCGCUCGUAGCUCAGGGGAUAGAGCACCAGUUUCCGGUACUGGGUGUCGGGGGUUCGAAUCCUCUGGGCGCACCA